CCUACGGGAGGCUGCAGUAGGGAAUCUUCCACAAUGGGCGAAAGCCUGAUGGAGCAACGCCGCGUGGGUGAAGAAGGUCUUCGGAUCGUAAAACCCUGUUGUUAGAGAAGAAAGUGCGUGAGAGUAACUGUUCACGUUUCGACGGUAUCUAACCAGAAAGCCACGGCUAACUACGUGCCAGCAGCCGCGGUAAUACGUAGGUGGCAAGCGUUAUCCGGAUUUAUUGGGCGUAAAGGGAACGCAGGCGGUCUUUUAAGUCUGAUGUGAAAGCCUUCGGCUUAACCGGAGUAGUGCAUUGGAAACUGGGAGACGUGAGUGCAGAAGAGGAGAGUGGAACUCCAGGUGUAGCGGUGAAAUGCGUAGAUAUAUGGAAGAACACCAGUGGCGAAAGCGGCUCUCUGGUCUGUAACUGACGCUGAGGUUCGAAAGCGUGGGUAGCAAACAGGAUUAGAUACCCCGGUAGUC
rnacentral:rRNA from 1 species